CAGUACUCCAACUGCGGUCUGACCAGCGCCUGAUAGAGGGGAAGUAUCACCUCCCUGGACCUAUUCGUCAUGCAUCUGCUGAUGCACGAUAAAGUGCCAUUGGCUUUUCUGAUGGCUUCAUCACACUGCCGGCUCAUGUUCAACUUGGAGUCCACUAGGACUCCAAGAUCCCUUUCCACCUCCGUGCCACCCAGCAGGUCAUUCCCUAGGCUGUAGGUGUGCUGGACAUUUUUCCUCCCUAGGUGCAGCACUUUGCAUUUCUCCUUGUUGAACUGCAUCCUGUUGUUUUCUGCCCACUUGUCCAGCCUAUCCAGGUCUGCCUGCAGCUGUUCCCUGCCCUCCGGCGUGUCCACUUCUCCCCAUAGCUUUGUGUCAUCUGCAAACUUGGACAGAGUACAUUUCACUCCCUCGUCCAAGUCGCUGAUGAAGACAUUAAAGAGUAUCGGUCCAAGGACCAAACCCUGCGGGACCCCACUGCCUGCACCCUUCCAGGUCGAGACCGACCCAUCUACCAUGACUCUCUGGGUGCGACCCUCUAGCCAAUUCACCACCCAUCGGACUGUGCAGUCAUCCACAUCACAGCCUCUUAACUUGUUCACCAGUAUGGGGUGGGAUACCGUAUCGAAGGCCUUCCUGAAGUCCAGGUAUACGACAUCCACCCCUCCUCCUGUGUCCAGGCGUUUCGUAACCUGGUCAUAGAAAGAGACUAGAUUGGUCAGGCAUGAUCUGCCCGCCACAAACCCAUGCUGGUUUCCCCUCAGCAUAAUUUGCCCUGCCGGGCUCUCACAAAUGUGAGCCUUGAUAAUUUUUUCAAAUACUUUACCAAGGAUGGAGGUGAGACUGACUGGCCUGUAGUUGCCCGGGUCCUCCUUCCUCCCCUUUUUGAAAAUGGGGACCACGUUAGCCCUUUUCCAGUCCUCCGGGACUUGGCCCGUGCGCCACGAGCAUUCGAAUAUUCCCGCCAGUGGCUCUGCAAUGACGUCGGCCAGUGCCUUCAGCACCCUCGGAUGGAGCCCAUCCGGGCCUGCCGACUUAAAGGCAUCCAGUUCUUCCAAAUGACUCUGCACCACCUCAGGAUCUACGCAUGGCAGUCUGGCGCCUUGCUGCUGCCUCUCUACAACCCCAGUGAGAGACUUGUUGUGCCCCUCGCUUAGGAACACUGAGGCAAAGAACUCGUUGAGGAGUUCAGCCUUGUCCCCCCUGUCUGUCACCAAUUGUUUCUGCCCAUUUAGCAGGGGUCCUAUUCCUCCCUGGGCCUUCCUUUUACUCCCAAUAUAUCUAAAAAACAAUUUCUUGUUGUCUUUUACUUGGGUUGCCAUCCUCAGCUCCAUGGUAGCUUUGGCCUGUCUAACUGCCUCCCUACAAGCACAAGCAGAGGAGGUAUAUUCAUCUUUAGUGAUCUCACCCUUUUUCCACUUUUUAUGUGCUCCCCUUUUGUCCGUUAGGCUGCCCUGGAUUUCUCUGGUCAGCCAUGGAAGCCUCCUGGCCCCUUUCCCUAUUUAAGGGCCCGGGCCAGGAAGAAGGCAGCCAUUAGCCAUGCGGUCAUCCAGGUGAAUCUGAGCCUGGCUCUCUCCUCAUCACCGCAUGCUCCAAGAGUGCCCUGCCUUCAGAGGAAACUCCAACUACCUCUGGACGAUGCGAGUGAGUAAGCUACCAGAGAUCCGAUGAGAUAUUUAGCUUCAGUAACUCAGAUGUGUGUUUAAACGGCUACCUCAGCCACCCUGGUUUGCUCUAUGGGAUUCCUCUGAGAUUCCUCUGAUACUGCUCUACCUUUUACCCUGUUUCCGCCCUACCCCCAGUCAUCAAUACAGUUCUCCUUGUGACCGGUGUGGGAGACUUAUUGAGGGGUGGGUCUAAAUUAAGCCAAGGAGGCCCCUUAGGUCUGUGGACUAAGAGAGACUUUCCUAUUAAGCCCCUGACUUGGAAAAGUGCCCCAAGUGCCUGUAUUGGGUCUAGGACCCAUUGGACGAUCAGCCCUGUGUUUUCCAAGGCGCGCAGAGCCAGGAGUGAGUCCAGAGCCUUGGAUGGUGGCAGCGGGACCCCAGGCUAGCGGGUGUGCUCCAGGGAAGGGGUCGGCCGGACGGGAGGCACCCCAGGGAGGCACUUGGAGCCUGGACGGUGGGCGGGCGCAGGGAGGUGGGCGGCUCCCCACAGGAGCGCCCCCUACUGGCCCGCCACAUGGCCCACCAGGCCAUUCCAUCCGGCCCACGGGGCCUCUAAAAAUUUAGAAAAUUAAUAUUUCUCUGCCCUGGGCUGCCUGUCAUGUGGCCCUUGAUAGCUUGCCAAAAACAUAGCUUGCCUCUGCCCAAAAUAAUUGCCUACCCCUGCACCCCGUCACAUCUGAUGGACUUACAACUUCCAGACCAGUCAGAAACUGCAAGGAAAACCAGCUUUGCACCUGGACAGAUCCAAACCCACAAUUCAAGCAGUUAGCAGUUGUACUGUGAUAAUUCCCCCUUCCUCCCUGUUUUGCUCAGACUUUCAUUUGACCGGCCAGCAAGGAGAAAUGCUUUAGGCGAUCCAAUCAAGCUGCCAGCAAGGUGUGCAGUCCAGGAGGGAGCUGGAGAAAUCCCGCUUGGUGAAGGCUGCAAAAAGACUGGAACAGCUUCCUGCCGGCAUGGGCAGCCUUGGUGCCGGCUGGAGUUGGUGAGAGGCUCCCAGCCGAGACCCGGGCGCAGCAGAGGAUGCAGGAGCAGCCCCAGGUUGCAAACUGCAGACCCCAGAGGAGGCUGAACCCCAGCAGCGCCAGGGGUCCCACGGUCGCACGGUCUGCUCAUCAACAUCACCGAUUCGGACUCAGAUUCAUCUGCACCCAGUCUCCGGCUGCAGCCAGGCAUCGGGAAAGGAUGGAGACCAGGGGCAGAGGCAGAGCUGCAUGGGGUCACGAUACUGAUGCACCUCGUUCCACGCUUUAUAAUCCCAGGGUUUGCAGCACAGUGCAGCACUGAAUGCAGGGCUAAUGAUCACAGUCACAUGAGACGUAUGGAAUAACCGCGGAGCAGGUUCCGGGGCCUGGUGCAAGAGGCAAGGGCCCGACCCACCGGCACGGGUGGCCGGGCUGCUGCCGGGUCAGCUGGCACUGUGCUGACCAGAAGAUCCCCACCGAUGGGCCAGAGCCCAGGAGCAAUGGGUUAAAACUGGGCCAGAAGACGUGGAGCGGGGUGUGCAUGCUGGGACACUGGAAGGAGGUCCAGAUGCUCUCCCCGCUGUCGGAGCGCCAGGGGAGGAGCUGGACACUCUCCACCCUCGAGAGGAAGCCGUCCGCCUUCCCCGUGGCCAGACCGCCCGGGGAAGCGCUGGACGCUGUCCCCGCUGCUGCCAGCCUCGGCCAUGUUCAAGGGGCCCAGGCCAAGCUGCAGAAGUGCCGCUAAGCAGACGGCCCAAAGCCCGCUUGUGAGUGACCGCAGUGUGAAGUUCAGCAGAUGUGACAACUCACUUGGUCAGCAAGCAAAGGAAACCAUCGAACACGACUGAACAAAGCACAAGGCCGAAAAGGAGAUAAGGGAAGACCAUACAUUACAUACUCCAUAUACCCUAUAUCACAGCUUUAUCUUAAGUAGUAGUAGUAGCGAGUGACAUAACCAAAUGUAUUAGAUGUUAUUUUGCCAUAAUAGAUAUAUUUUUGUUAAAUGCUUAGAUAAUUUGUAAAAACAAAAACAGCCUGUCAGAGAAGACCAUAAAGUCAGGUAAAAAAGAAACAGAAACGGCAUUCCAGCACGGGGAAGGAAGGGAGAUAAGAACCCCUCCCUCUUUCCCAAGGACAUAAAUCCCAAAUAAUUGACACCUUCCAAGUCCACACAAGAUCUGGCUCAGUCCUGUUCCAAUAGUUUCAGUGAAACCACGAAAUGUAAAUAAAACCAAUCAGAGAUCACUUAUUAGAAUAUUAAAACCAGCCAUCUAUAAAUAAUGGGCAUGGGCCGGAGGGAAAUUUGGGAAAUUCAGCAAAUUCAAGACGACCUGCUGCCAAUCUGCUCGCCACCCUCCUCCCACCUCGCGAGUCUCCCAGCCGGGGUAGGUGCGCGACUGCAUCGUGCAGGCGCAGGCACCCAGACAGACUCGGGGAUAAAUGUUUGUUCUCAUGUUUUAAGGUGCAAGCAAAUAAAAGGCUGGGUGGUA